UACAGAGGUCUCGAGCGUUGUUCGGAUUCAUUGGGCGUAAAGGGCGCGUAGGCGGCGGGGUAAGUCUGGUGUGAAAUCUAGGAGCUCAACUCCUAAACUGCACUGGAUACUGCUCUGCUAGAGGACUGGAGAGGAGACUGGAAUUCACGGUGUAGCAGUGAAAUGCGUAGAUAUCGAGAGGAACACCUGCGGCGAAGGCGGGUUGCUGGGCUGACACUGACGCUGAGGCGCGAAAGCCAGGGGAGCGAACAGG
rnacentral:rRNA from 1 species